AAAAAGGUACAUAAGGGCACUGAUAGUGGAUGCCUUGACAAUUACAACCGAUGAAGGACGUAGAACUCUGCGAUAAGCUUCGGGUAGCUGAGAACAAGCUUUGAUCCGGAGAUUUCCGAAUGGGGAAACCUAAUACGAGUCAUGUCGUAUUGCAUUUAUCUGAACACAUAGGAUAAAUAGACGGGAACCAGCCGAACUGAAUCAUCUUAGUAGGUUGAGGAAAAGAGAAUAACCAAUGAUUCCGAAAGUAGUGGCGAGCGAAAUUGGAACAGCCUAAACCUUAAGAUAACCUAACGGUUUAACGACCUGAGUUAUUAAAGGGGUUGCGAAAUUAGAUAAUUUUUAUGCUGAGUAGCUUUACGGCUGUUCAGCAUAAAAACCAACAGCGUUAACUGAGUGGAUAAAGAUACAAUCCUUUAGAUCGU
rnacentral:rRNA from 1 species